GACAGAGGGUGCAAACGUUGUUCGGAAUUACUGGGCGUAAAGCGCGUGUAGGCGGCAAUGCAAGUCGGGCGUGAAAUCCCACGGCUCAACCGUGGAAGUGCACUCGAAACUGCAUAGCUAGAGUCCUGGAGAGGAAGGUGGAAUGCUUGGUGUAGAGGUGAAAUUCGUAGAUAUCAAGCGGAACACCGGUGGCGAAGGCGGCCUUCUGGACAGUGACUGACGCUGAGACGCGAAAGCGUGGGGAGCAAACAGG
rnacentral:rRNA from 1 species